CUCGCUUCUCAGCCUUUUGGCUAAGAUCAAGUAAAUGAUCUGUUCUUAUCAGUUUGACAUCAAGUACGGAACACCACCUACUCAUGGAACAGAGAACCACUU
rnacentral:snRNA from 1 species